GGGCCGUUAGCUCAACCUGGCUAGAGCAUCUGGCUUUUAACCAGAGGGUUGCGGGUUCAAAAGUUCACAGUUUUGCUGUGGCUGAACGUCCCGUACGGCCCG
rnacentral:tRNA from 1 species